UUGGGGAAUAUUGGACAAUGGGCGAAAGCCUGAUCCAGCCAUGCCGCGUGUGUGAAGAAGGUCUUCGGAUUGUAAAGCACUUUAAGUUGGGAGGAAGGGCAGUAAGUUAAUACCUUGCUGUUUUGACGUUACCGACAGAAUAAGCACCGGCUAACUUCGUGCCAGCAGCCGCGGUAAUACGAAGGGUGCAAGCGUUAAUCGGAAUUACUGGGCGUAAAGCGCGCGUAGGUGGUUUUGUAAGUUGGAGGUGAAAUCCCCGGGCUCAACCUGGGAACUGCCUCCAAAACUGCAUGACUAGAGUACGGUAGAGGGUAGUGGAAUUUCCUGUGUAGCGGUGAAAUGCGUAGAUAUAGGAAGGAACACCAGUGGCGAAGGCGACUACCUGGACUGAUACUGACACUGAGGUGCGAAAGCGUGGGGAGCAAACAGGAUUAGAAACCCCGGUAGUCC
rnacentral:rRNA from 1 species